rnacentral:lncRNA from 1 species
AUGAACAAAGCAAGUGGAGUUGAUGGCAUUCCAGUUGAGCUAUUUCAAAUCCUGAAAGAUGAUGCUGUGAAAGUGCUGCACUCAAUAGGUCAGCAAAUUUGGAAAACUCAGGAGUGGCCACAGGACUGGAAAAGGUCAGUUUUCAUUCCAAUCCCAAAGAAAGGCAAUGCCAAAGAAUGCUCAAACUACUGCAUAAUUGCACUCAUCUCACAUGCUAGUAAAGUGAUGCUCAAAAUUCUCCAAGCCAGGCUUCAGGAAUACAUGAACCAUGAACUUCCAGAUGUUCAAGCUCGUUUUAGAAAAGGCAGAGGAACCAAAGGUCAAAUUGCAAACAUCCACUGGAUCAUAGAAAAAGCAAGAGAUUUCCAGAAAAAUAUCUAUUUCUGCUUUAUUGACUGUGCCAAAGCCUUUGACUGUGUGGAUCACAAUAAACUGUGGAAGAUUCUGAGAGAGAUGGGAAUACCAGACCGCCUGACAUGUCUCUUGAGAAAUCUGUAUGCAGGUCAGGAAGCAACAGUUAGAACUGGACAUGGAACAACAGACUGGUUCCAAAUAGGAAAAGGAGUGCGUCAAGGCUGUAUAUUGUCACCCUGCUUAUUUAACUUCUAUGCAGAGUACAUCAUGAGAAAUGCUGGACUGGAAGAAACACAAGCUGGAAUCAAGAUUGCCAGGAGAGAUAGCAAUAACCUCAGAAAUGCAGAUGACACCACCCUUAUGGCAGAAAGUGAAGAGGAGCUAAAAAGCCUCUUGAUGAAAGUGAAAGAGAAGAGUGAAAAAGUUCGCUUAAAGCUCAACAUUCAGAGAAAGAAGAUCAUGGCAUCCGGUCCCAUCACUUCAUGGGAAAUAGAUGGGGAAACAGUGGAAACAGUGUCAGACUUUAUUUUUUGGGGCUCCAAAAUCACUGCAGAUGGUGACUUCAGCCAUGAAAUUAAAAGACGCUUACUCCUUGGAAGAAAAGUUAUGACCAACCUAGAUAGCAUAUUGAGAAGCAGAGACAUUACUUUGCCGACUAAGGUCCGUCUAGUCAAGGCUAUGGUUUUUCCAGUGGUCAUGUAUGGAUGUGAGAGUUGGACUGUGAAGAAAGCUGAGUGCCGAAGAAUUGACGCUUUUGAACUUGGUGUUGCAGACGACUCUUGA